CUAGAAUGGUAUUACCGGCCGGUGAAAUACAAAGGAACGUUUUUCCCAAAUUAACGUACUAAUAAGUAUAAAGACUAAGAAAUUAAAUGUGAAAUGGAAAGACUGUUAGAUUUCAAACAUUUCUGUAUAUAAAUGAUAAUGUCAGAUUACAAAAUAACAGAUUUUCGAUGUAAUAUUUAAAUAUAAGUCAUCUGUCAUCGAAUGAAACGAAUCAGAGAACGAAACUUUCAUGAAAUACUGCCAACUCCAUUUAAAAAGGAGUAAAAUUUGCUUCUGUGAGAGAAUUAGCAAAGCUUCUUGAUUUCUAUUCUUACAAUUUUUAAGCGAAGAAGGAAGAAAAGCUAUAUACGAACUUUGCAACCUGCAGGAAGAAUAGAAAAAUAAUGAAUCUAAGACAUUUGAAGAUAUAGACGGUAGAGUGGCUUUUGUAGCUUCAAAUAUUUCUACAAUAUUUGAGGCAUUCGUGGCUUCAAACAGUUUUGGCAUUGUCAAAAUGAUACCACGUUUAGCAAAAUUGCUUAUGCAAUUUGAUUGCAAUUGAUUUUGCAAAAAUGGAAAAAAUGGAAUUUAUAUCUUAUUUUAAAAUCCUCCAAAGAAACAUUAUCUAUGGGUCUGCGGAGAAGCUUCAGAAUCAAUUAUUUGUGUGGCCAUGAUAUAAUGUAUAUUUCCAAUUGAAUUAUUUCAAGGUUUUCAAAGAAAAACAGGAAGGGUUGUCGUAGUGAAAGAUACACGAGCUGCUCGUUUAAAUGCUUGUCACACAAAUACCAAUCAAUGUAUUGGAGGAUUAACCCUUUGAUGAUAUGGAAAAGAAAUUAGAUAAGUUAAAAAAAACUACUUCCCAUCGAAUUUGAAAAGCUUUCCAACAAAACGAUUUGUUCCAAGUGGAAAGAAAAGCAAUGACAAAAAGUUCAUGAAAGCUGCUGAACAUUUAACCAGUCGAUGAGAUCACUUUGAUUUCAACUUGGCAAUAUUAUUCAAUUAAUUUGGAAUUAAUAGCCGUCCAUUCGAAAGAUGACGAAUGAAUGAUUGGAAAAAUUGCGCCAGGCAAUCGAAAUGAAACAAUGCGUUAGAUAAACAUUGAUGAAUCGACGCGAAUACAAUAGUUGUCAUUUCAACUAUUGAAGACAGAAAAAUAUAACAGAAACAGGAGCAAUGAGAUGAGAGUACAACCACUACAAAACAGGUUUUAGCAGCUGUAUAAGCGACUACAAGCACGGUGUUUAUACAAUACGUAGCAGGGUCUGCAAAAUAUUAAUCCACAAGCUAUAGGGAAAGAAGUAUAACAAUACCGAACACGUCUCUAAUCCUGCUGUUUUCUUAAUGGAUUAAAACACGAGUUCGUUUCCACGUUAUCCAAGAGAUCUUUCUUCCAGCGCUACGUUGUUAUGGUUUGCUCUGUAGGGGUUCACGUCACAUUGUGUAUAAUUAUUUUUAAAAAAACGUUCCACAAAGUUUUACUUUUCUCUCACAGAUUUACUACUGUACUAGGUCUUAUCUAUCAUAUUUAUUGCAUUCUAUUGUAUUCUUGUAUUUAUCGAAAAACAAAUUGUAUCUAUCCUAUGUUUAUUUACGCAUAUUUAUUGUAUUCUUUAUAUUUAUCGACAAACAAAUUGUAUCUAUCCUAUGUCUAUGUGUGUAUUAACUACGUGUAUUUUGAUAUACUUUGUUGUGAAAAAACAAUAUAUAUAUCUGAAACUGAAAAGUUUGUUUUUACACUUUAUUAAACCUACUGGCUCGAACCUAUAUAAUAC